rnacentral:lncRNA from 1 species
GUGCUGCAUACAAUGCUCUACCCCCACCCCAGCACAAGAGCUGCACUUAACCCAGAGCAUCUGAGUUGCCAGCUGCCAUUAAAAGAGCUGAGCCUGAGCUGGGUACAGCCUAAAGAGCAGUUUCCUUUCAGCUACCCAUUCAUGAGGAUGCAGACAUUUGUCAUCAGGCUGUUUUUUAAGGUUUUUUCCAUCCUGGGGCAUCAUGGCAGCAAAGUGAUUUUCUCCAGAGGCACAAACUCAAUAGCUCAGACAGACCCUGUGUGUUUCUACCUUCCCAGCAAACAAAACUUAGCAAUUUAUGCUUGUAUUUAAUAGGUUUUCUCAAAUAGCCCAGAGCAAAACUAAACACCCCAAAGAAAUCAAACAUGUGAAAACCCUAAAGAAGAAGCUGUUUUUCUUCUUCAGAGAGAAGCCAACAAGCUUGUUUUCUUUUUAAAGAGAUGCAUAACCAAGAGAGCUCUGAAGCACUGAAAUUACAUCUUGUACAGCACAGGCUGUCACGCUCAGAGGCACCCCAGCAUCACUGCUCGACACAGCUGAGCGCAGAGAGCAAAUCUGCCAUCCGCCAGCCCUGCGUUGGGACUUAGCGUUCUCAUUCUGACUAAUUACUACUAUGUUAAUUUGACAAAGAGAUGUUCCCCUUUGCAGGAAAUUUCCAGCGUUGUUCUGCUUUUAUUUCUUUUCUUUUCUUUUUUUUUUUUCAGCUGCUCUUUAGUUCUGAGAAUCUUCUUUCCAUACCCUCAUACCCCAUCAUACUUCUCUCGUAUUGUACCUGUGCUGAUGGUGACCGCUAUGGGAUGCUGGGGAUCUCCCUUAUUGUGUCUGAGUCGUGGUCUUGUGCCACAUAAACAUGCUGAGCUGCUGCCCUGGAGAUGUGGCAGGAAAGUUGGGUGGAUAGAAACCUGAUGAGGUUCAAUGGGAGUGUCUGUAGAGCCCUGCACAUAGGGAGGAAUAACCACAAACAUCAGUACGGGAUGAGGAUAUCAGUAGAGGAUGUCCUGAUGGAGAGGAGCUUGUCCUUGUGUCCAGGAAGACCAAUUGCAUCCUGGUUGACCAC